rnacentral:rRNA from 1 species
UGGGGAAUAUUGGACAAUGGGCGCAAGCCUGAUCCAGCCAUGCCGCGUGUGUGAUGAAGGCCCUAGGGUUGUAAAGCUCUUUCACCGGUGAAGAUAAUGACGGUAACCGGAGAAGAAGCCCCGGCUAACUUCGUGCCAGCAGCCGCGGUAAUACGAAGGGGGCUAGCGUUGUUCGGAUUUACUGGGCGUAAAGCGCACGUAGGCGGACUUUUGAGUCAGGGGUGAAAUCCCGGGGCUCAACCCCGGAACUGCCUUUGAUACUGGAAGUCUUGAGUAUGGUAGAGGUGAGUGGAAUUCCGAGUGUAGAGGUGAAAUUCGUAGAUAUUCGGAGGAACACCAGUGGCGAAGGCGGCUCACUGGACCAUUACUGACGCUGAGGUGCGAAAGCGUGGGGAGCAAACAGG